GUGGAAUACACCGUCAUUAACAAUGUCAGGGACUUGCACUUAUGCGGGUCGAAGGUCCAAUUAGCUAACAUCCGGACUCCCAAGCCUGGGGAGAGGCUCGACUUCACACACAUGCUGCAUGUUGAAGCCCAUGUCUUGAGUUCAGAGCUGUCAGGCUCCAGUCGUGGAAGGUCACAACUCUGCAGGGAUUUGUCCUACUCCUCUUUCUUCCAGCAGAUUCAGCUCAGCAAGUCCUCACUCCUUCUCCUGAUGCACUGAACCACAAUAUUAAGCUCAGUGGUCUCGGAAAUGCCUCACAAAACAGUCUGAGCUCCUCAGCUCAGGUUCAGAAUAUAAACAGUACCGACAGACACCGGCCUCCACCGGGAAGACACGUUUAUAUACAUGUGAGGAGGAAAAAAAGAACUUUGUGUCUACUUUUAUGUCUCAAAGCAGUGAUCAAGGCCGGUGUUGUAUCUGAGACAUAAACAGUAACUGCAUGCACAGAGAUUGUGUUGUAAAUGACACCCGCACGUACGGCGAGAAAGAAGGACCAACCCAGUGCUCUUUCUCUCUCUCUCUCUCUCUCUCUCUCUCUCUCUCUCUCUCUCUCUCUCCCUCUCUCUCUCUCUCUCCCGGGCGCGCGCGCAAGUCGGCAUCUCAGGAGCUGACGGAGAAGCCUCGCGCAUGUACACACUGAUGGACUCAAGUUCGAUGUAAUAAUAAUAAAUGGCAUGACUUAUAAUUCCAGCCUCCACGCAGGAUAACUGGCUUAUUAAUGCGAAAUGAAAUAUAUGAAAUAGAGAGCUCGUGCUCAGGGGCUGUUUACGGUUAGGACUAAAUAGUCUACAGACAGGUAAGAUCAGCGCGAGCAAAUAUCUGUGUGUGUGUGUGUGUGUGUGUGUGUGUGUGUGUGUGUGUGUGUGGGUGGGUGGGUGUGUUUUCUAUCAUUUGAAAUAUAUAUUUUUUUUUAAAAUGGGCGCUAUCUAUCUAUCUAUCUAUCUGUCUGUCUAUCUAUCUAUCUGUCUAUCUAUCUAUCCGUCUAUCUAUCUAUACAUCCAUUCCACUCACAGGAUAAUUGGAUAAAGAAUUUUCUCGUCACCUUUUUUUGGAGAAAUGAUGUUUGACAUUUAAGCACAGUGGGUUCUCGGCAUCUAGUAGGGACAAUUGCAGAAAAUUAAUUAAUUAAUGCAUUUAUUUAUUUAUUUAUUUUAUUUCAUUUAUUCGUUCUCCGCAUUAUAAACUACGUGUUAUUUACAUGUUUGUCUCGCUUUUUUUUUAUAUAAAAAAAGAUAUUUUAUUUCUAAUAUUCG
ensembl:lncRNA